AAAAGAAUUGUAGGAUCUACCUCCGUCGCACUGCACCCUUCUGAUAAGUUUUCUCCGCUUGCUUUAUCCUUUCCAAUACCUAAAGUGCCUCUGCAUUUACGCAGCUAGUCACAGCCACUCCGGCUAAAUAAUUCCAGAUUCCUAGAAGGAAAUACUGCCCUAUGGUACAAAAAUUUCAUAAAAUUUUACAUAUACCAGCAAUUACUGUUUGGUCACACUCUUUACUUGUUGCAAAAGGCUGCAGGUCAUAGCCAACGGGUUUCUAUUGUUAACAUGACUAAAGCAAUUUACAAUCGGGAACGAAGACUCCAGAAUGCACUUAUCACCAUACCCACUUGCCAUCUACUCCUGCUCCUUCAAUACAAGAUAUUUACCUAGCUGUUGAAAGAAAAUGUGUGUCCAUCAGCCAAACCAGCUGAUAUAUCAUGCUUCCCAGCAGAUUUUAUCCUAUACUUUCCUGAUGCAUGCCAGAAAGAAACUGUGUUAGCCCACAAAGCUAUAGAAGGCCCAAACUUUAGAUUCGCUCUUUUGCAGUGGACAAACAAAUACCGUUCUGAAGUAACAGAAUGGAACACACAUGUAUCACUGCAUAUCAAAGGUAUACCUCCUCACCUCUUCUUCUACGAUUGCCUAAAGCCCCCCCCCCCUUCCAUACUGCGGUAUCAGGAUAGCUGAUUUUGAUAAAAACACCGGCAUAUGCAAAGUGAAUGCCUACACAGAAAACAUACAUUCCAUCCCUACAAACCAACAAUUAGGCAUUUAUUACCAUCGCCUCGACGGCGUCAGCACGCAUACAUUCCCCAUAACCCUCAACACAACACCGUAUGUUGAACCAGAGCAGAACCCUUCCUCAAAACGGGCGCAGAAUCCUUCAGCACAUGUCGAUCUUAAUGACUACUCAAGCCACUACGACUCAGAUUCCGACCACGAGCCUGCAGAAUGGAAACACAGAUGCUGAACAAGGUGGCAGAGUUCAUCCCUGGCUUCCUUCAUAUGCAUUCGCGGAGAACCACCAUCUUCGAUACUCUUGUCAAGGAACUACAAAUUCAGACGGAGAAAAAAAUAACCAGCGGACUGGAAAACUGACUGACAACCUUCCUGGUACAAGUCAUUCUCAAACAAGCUCAGCCCACGCAGUCGUACCCCUAUGUAAUAUAUGUACAUCGAACAUGGUUUAGUUGAUCCAACCAGACCUUUUGUUGUAAUAUGCUCACUACUAAUUUCCUGCAUCCACAUCUAUUA